rnacentral:lncRNA from 1 species
GUAAGGCCCAUUGGUUGGCUUAAGGGUAGUGUGUUCUAUCUGCAAAAGGCGACCUCCCUGAUUAGAUCAUCACAAGUGAUGGGGGAAGGUGGGAAGACUCCAAGAAAAAAAGUAGGUGGUACAGACUGGACAUAAUUGUUAAGAGGAAGAAAGAAGAGAAGGAAUAGAAUCAAACCAGAGAGGCUCUGUAUCCCCUCUCCAUGUGACACUGGAGUUAAAAAGAGGAACACAAAACAGAAGAGGCGCAGGUGGCUGUGUUUAUGGCCUUCAGGGAGAUAUGAUUACUUCACUCAGCUGAUUGCUACCUGAAGGAAGUCAGAUUACAAUUAAGACUGUCAGUUCAGUGUUUCAGAGACAUCACAAUAAGAAGCUAUUGAGGACGUAUAUCUAAACAAGGAGCCCAGUGAUGUACUGAGAAGUAGCAUGGUCAGAGAGAAGUCAGAACUUCUGUGGAAAUUGUCAGCUUCUUUCAGUAGAAAGUCCUGCACUGGAAGCCAGUUGACAAUCACAGAACUAUCCAAGUCAUAAUAUAAGGAUAAUCCACGUGGUUAUCACCAGUGAUUCACAAGGAUGUAAUUGGGAAUAAUCAGUGAUACGGACACUAACUAGACAUGAAUUCACUCUACAGAAUUCUAGGUAUCAGUAGAUGACCCAUCACGUCAACACUGCAAACCCCUUAGCCACUCCCACGGGACAGAACCCAAUCCAGAGGUGUUUCUUCAUUGCACCUCUGGGAGAUCUUCCUGUGGA